GGAUCAGUUCGCUGGUCGUGCCUCUGGUAUGUACUGGUGUUACUGGUUCCUCCCUUCUGACGAACUGUCAUGUCAUUUAUUUGGUGUGGCAGGGAAUCAGGACUGUUACUUUGAAAAAAUUAGAGUGUUCAAAGCAGGCGUUUCGCUUUCAUACUCCAGCAUGGAAUAAUAAAACAGGACUUUGGUCGUGUUUUGUUGGUUUUAAGGACCGAAGUA
rnacentral:rRNA from 1 species